GGGGUUCUAGCUCAUCGGUAGAGCGCUCGCUUAGCAUGCGAGAGGUACUGGAUUCGACUCCCAGGUACUCCA
rnacentral:tRNA from 2 species